UCUUGUCCGCACCCAAAAACUCUCUCUCUCUCUCUCUCGCUUGCUUCCUCGCUCGCUUGCUCUGGCUCUCGGCGAUUGCUCCUCGGCGCGGCGGUGACCGGCGAUCGAAUCGACCCCGAAGGUAGUCGCUCUCCCCCCGCCGCCGAAGCUCUUUCUAACUUGCUUCGAUCGAUCGAUCGAUCAUCGCCUUUGAGAUUGUCGGUCUUCUCUUUUCGGUUUGCGUGUUCAUAUGGUUGCGUAGACGGUCCGAUCAUGAUCGCGUGCCGCGGAAUUCUCGAUUAUCCGGCUCCGAUCACCUGUCGUGAGGAUAAGUUAGGCGAUGCCUUCGCGAUCCUUUCGAAAUCGAGGGGUCUCCGGUCGUUUUGCGGGGGUUCGUUUCUAGCUGCCGCGUUUUGCCUCAUUUUUGUGAUUUUGUGCCCGAACCGUGGCUUGAAUCGCGAGGAAAUCCGGUGGCGUGAACCGUGAGGAUCUGUUAGCUUUGGGUUUUUGGAUGUGAGGAGUUGGUUUAUUUUCCGUAUCCUGGCUUUAUGUUUUCCCCCCGCCUCCCUUUAAUUGAUCGUUUCAUCCGUCGUAAGAAGUUUUUCCUCCCACUGGGUUGGUCAUCGCUGGGCUGAGGUCGGCUGAUCCUGAUUUUACCUCGAGGAUGGCAAUUAUAAACACUGCCGGUACUCUAUUGGUCGUAGAAAUUGCUAUUUAGAACCCUUUACCUUGUUGUUUUCAUCUUUCUCCUAGGCUAUAUGCUACGGCUUUGCUGUUAUGAAUACUCGAAAAGUUACACCAUCAGUUACAAGAUCCUUGCUCUCUCUCUCUCUCUGGCUCUGUCUUUGAGAUGUAGUCAGGGUGGUGGAUCAUCGAUACUGGGAAGGUUUCUAUGUGGGGAGGGUUUAAUAUCACAAUAGGAUUACUCUACACGAUGAUCAUUUUGGAUGUCGUGGAAUGUUUAAACUGAAGAUUGAUGGCACAAAUGGAAAUGCGAUGAUUAAGACAACCGGUAGUAUUCAUUCUAUUUAUCUUCAUCUAACAUUUCUUUCUGGUGUCUCUAUGCAAAAUCAGUGGCGACGAUGAUCAGUCAAUUACUCACAUAGAAAGCCAGUUGCUCAGGCUUUAGACUAUCAUGUUACCUCCAAGAGGCCUUAAAAUUAGCAGCACCUAUCGCACACAAAGAAUGCCCACUUGUGCUUUUUUCUGAACAUCUGCUGGUUUAUUUGUCUAAUAUGGACAUUUUUUUUUUUCCAAUUAGAUACUCAAAUAGAAAGCCCUUCUCUUAGGCUUGAGAGUAUAUUAACAUCUUCACAUAGGCCAACAAGUAUAAGUACCUCCCCAGCGCUUAUGGUUUUGUGGUUAUAUACCAGUUUCAUGUCAAUUCAAGUGGACGUAAUAUUUACUUAAUCAUUGUUUUAUGAUGCAGAUAAAAGUGUACAUUUGAUUUAGUUUUUCAAAUGCCUGAUGAAUGUAGAGUUGUAAAAAAUACUGAAGUCAUUGGAAAUAAAAUCACAGAGGAUGUCAUGGUGCGUGGACUAGGCUUAUAGUAUCUCCCAGCCCUAAUGUUGCAAGUAUGAUGGUUUGAUAUCAUUGGGACCUAGAGUUAAAUUGAAUAUCCUUUGGCAUCGACUAGGUUUGCCUGUUUCUGUUGUGCAGGUUUUGUUGGGUACGGGUGGUAUGAUUUUUCUUGCUUGACUUUUAUUAUGUGGAGAAUUUGGAAGGACAUGUCUACAAAUACAGGGGCGUUUUCUAUUAGCUUGACGAUGGUUGUAUAAAGGAAGUCCAGUUGACCAUGUUCACAAGGCUACCCCUUUCUAGGAGUUUCUCUGUCUCUUUGUAUUAGUGAACACACGCUUGAAGAAAAGAUAGUGACCACCCUGACUCUGCUGGUGGGCUUUUUGAUGGUUGUUUUGUCAAUAUUGGAGAGACACGUAUUUAAUACUAUGUGCUUCUCACGGAGAAUAGAUGUACCAAUCUUACAGGGAAUGAAAAUGUGUGCGGUAUUUGGAAAUUUCGUUAUUCUCUAUGUAAGUUUGUCAAUUCCAUUAUCAGGUUA